UACGGGAUAAUAUAUUUGAGAGGCAUCUCUUGAAUAUCAAAGGUGAGCCAGUACAGGAUGGACCCGCGUCUGAUUAGCUAGUUGGUAAGGUAACGGCUUACCAAGGCGACGAUCAGUAGCCGACCUGGGAGGGUGAUCGGCCACAUUGGAACUGAGACACGGUCCAAACUCCUACGGGAGGCAGCAGGGGGGAAUAUUGCACAAUGGGCGAAAGCCUGAUGCAGCAACGCCGCGUGAGUGAUGAAGGCCUUCGGGUCGUAAAACUCUGUCCUCAAGGAAGAUAAUGACGGUACUUGAGGAGGAAGCCCCGGCUAACUACGUGCCAGCAGCCGCGGUAAUACGUAGGGGGCUAGCGUUAUCCGGAUUUACUGGGCGUAAAGGGUGCGUAGGCGGUCUUUCAAGUCAGGAGUGAAAGGCUACGGCUCAACCGUAGUAAGCUCUUGAAACUGGGAGACUUGAGUGCAGGAGAGGAGAGUGGAAUUCCUAGUGUAGCGGUGAAAUGCGUAGAUAUUAGGAGGAACACCAGU
rnacentral:rRNA from 1 species